GGAGCUGGGAGGAUCCCUGGCAGAGCACACGGUGCUUCCCGGCAGAACCUGCUCCUGCAGGGCUGGAGUACAGGGCAUCGUGCACAGAAGUGGCACCAUGGCCAUGGGCAUCGUGCACAGAAGUGGCACCAUGCAGCCCGUGCAGAGUGCACGUCAGCCAGUGCUUGGCUUUCUGGUGCACGCUGCCUGAUGCUGGUGCACAAGACAUCCCUGGAGCAAUUUCAUGGAAGAGCCAGGCCAGGAGAGGACUGUGCAGGUCUUGAGGAGCAACAUGAGACAGAGUGUCCAGUGAUGGAGAAAAUGGGCACUCUCCCUUGCUGGAGUCUCCU